AAACGUCGACAGCGCUUCUCCCUAUACAUGCUGCCUGGCCUGCUGCGUUCCACCAGCAUUUUGUGUGUGUUGCUUGAAUUUCCAGCAUCUGCAGAUUUCCUCAUGUUUGGGGAUCUCAUAGAAACAUUUUGAAUGUUGAAAGGCCUGAACAGAUUAGAUAUGGCAAAAUUAUUUCCCAUGGUAGGGGAGUCUAGCACAAGAGAUCACGACUUCAGGCUUGCAGGACGUCCAUUUAGAACAGAGAUGCGGAUAAAUUACUUUAGUCAGAGGGUGGUAAAUCUGUGGAAUUUUUUGCCAUAAGCAGCUGUGAAGGCCAAGUCAUUGGGUAUGUUUAAGGCAGAGGUAGAUACUUUAUUAGCCAGGGCAUCAAAGGAUAUGGGGAGAAGGCAGGGGAGUGGGUAUGACUGGAAGAAUUGGAUCAGCCCAUGACUGAAUGGCAAAGCAGACUCGAUAUGCUGAAUGGCCUACUUCUGCUUCUACAUCUUAUGGUGUUAUGGUCUAACAGAUAAAAAAUGUCAACCCCCUACCAACUACCAAAGAAAAAAGCUGAUGGGUGAUAAUGGAUAAUUAGAAAAAAAACAUAUUUGCUUAAGAAGAGAAGAUAGAAAUACACAUAAAAGUCUGUGCACUGUUAAACUUUACAAAUUGGAAAAGUAAUUUAGGAAAGGUCCCCAGAUAUCAUAAAAAGAUUGUUUCAAAUUUAAGACUGAGCAGCGGAUCUUCUCUAAAUUUAAAUAAGACAAAAUAUAAAAUAUUACUCAAAUCAUUUCAAAAAGACCCUGGGCCCAGCACGUGGAUGCAAUUACGAAAAAGGUACAGCAGCAUCUCUGCAAAGAUUCAGAAUGACAUCUAGAGCUUUGACAAACUUAUAUAGACAUGCAGUGGAGAGUUUAUUGACUGGCUGCAUCACAGACUGGUAUGCAUCACUGGUCAAGCCCUCUCCACCACUGAGCAAAUCUACACGGAGUAUUGUUGCAGGAAAGCAGUUUCCAUCAUCAUGGAUCCUCACCACCCAGGUCAUGUCCUCUUCUCACUGCCAUCAGGAAGAAGGUACAGGAACCUCAGAACCCACACCACCAAGUUAAGGAACAGAUAUUACAACUCAUUCAUCAGGCUUCUGAACCAGAGGGAAUGACUUCACUCAACUUCACUUGCCUUAUCACGGACCUUCUUCAUUGCUGCUGCUGCUGUGAAGAACAGGCCCCGAGUCCUCGGGGUCGCAUUGCCGUUGGUGGGGCCAUCUUAAUACGCUCGGGAGAGGAUGGUGCUCGGAGAAGCUGUGCCAGAGGGGAUGGUCGUCGGCUCGGAGGUUCGACUGACACAGGUCACUUUCGGUGUGUGCUGCGUCUGCGAGGCUGAGUAGGGCGGCGCCUUGGAAGUCCAUAACAGGGGUAUUCCCUUCUGCCGCCAGCGUGGGAUGGCAAGUCUGUCGGGACCCUGGGGACUUGUGGAAACAGUGGUGAUUUCUUUUGAAUUUACAGUCCUUUAACAUCUUGGACUAUUUUUACUGUACCCAUAGUCUGUUUUUUUUAUCAAUUAUGCUAUUGUUUGCACUAUUGUAACUAUAUGUUGUAAUUAUGUGGUUUUGUGCAGGUCUUGUAGCUUUAGUUUUUGGUCUUGUUUUUGUCUGGUGGGAUUGGAGCUCCUUUCCAGGGAACACACUAAGAUGGUAACACGAUAUUAAUACGCAGCAGCCUCUCCACACUCUGGAUUGGGGAUUGCCAAACGUUAUGUGGAUUUUCUGGUGUAGUCUGUUUUGCCAUAUGCUUUUGUGAUAUUCUGGAGGAACGUUGUCUCAUUUUUUAACUGCAUUGCAUUUGUGGUUUCAAAAUGACAAUAAACUGAAUCUGAAUCUG